GCGCGGCGGCGGCGAGUGCCCCGGAAGGAAAUGAACCGAGUACCACGGGCAAACAAACAAACAAGCGAACAACACAGAUAGCGCGGUUCGCUUUGCACUUCACGGCACUUCUCCUUGUCCUCCGCGCUGCCUCGGACGGUUCUGUCGUGGCGUUCCUAAAGGCGUGUGUGAGCGGAGCAUUCCCGGUGGGUCGGGCAGAUCCCGCCGGGAAUGCUCGCAGAGCCGCGGGCUGCCCCAGAGUUUCCUUCUCAGCCGUUGCAACGGGUGCCUGAGCCCCGGGCACGUCAUGUCGUGACUGUUGCUACUUAUUUAUCGGCGGGGAUGGGCGCGGGUCGAAAGUGCGGCGAGGGACAAUUCCCCAGCCCUGCUGAGAAUUUGUAGGCUGCGCCAUGCUUUGACCCUCUUUUUACAGCUCAACCAAAUAACCUUUCUUCUAACUUCGCAAAAAUUGCGAAAACUACUCGUGAGAAAAUGUUGAGAAGGCCUUAAGGCAUGCAUGAUAAGAAAGGUAAAUUUAUCGACAGAAUCAAAGUUGUUGAGAUGGAGUCAGCAGUUCAUAGAUUCAAGAAGUGUGAAAAGAUACAGAAUCCUCAGAGAAAGGAAGGCAGAAACAGCAAGAGUAAAAGCUACUAGCCUGAUGCAACAAGCAAUAAAACCUGAUGGUUGAUUACUUUAUUCAGCCACGACUGAUAAGGUUUCUCACCAACAGAGAUUAAUGACUCCUUCAUUCCAGCUGCUGUGUGAAUUAGCCAAUAAGUAAUUCCCUUAUGGCUUUAAAUUGUCAAUGUGCUCGUUGCAGUCUUGGUGCCUUCUGGGCCACUAGUUAGUUCAUGUUAAUAGUUGUCUGAAUGAAGUCACCUGGUGUGGGAGUGUUAAAGAUGGACAGAGAAAAGACCAGACUUGUGCUGCUUUUUUUGUGGGUUUUUUUUUUUUUUUGGUUUUGUUUUGUGUGGGGUUUUUUUUGGGUUUUUUUUUUUUUUUUUGCGGGUUUUUUUGUUUUGCGGUUUUUUUUCGUUUUGUUUUGUUUCUUAGGUGGGAAACACCUUUUUUUCUGCCCUUGCAUCUAUCUAGUUUUUCUUAUUAUUGCAGGCAUACAAACCCGGGAACCUGGGGUUUCAGAACUUGGUCUCCUACUAGUAGCAUUAUUUAUUAAUGAUAAUUAUGAUUAUGGCAACUUGAUUAUAAAUUAUCAUUUAUUAUGAUAAUUAUUAUCAAGUUGCCAAGUGUGUUUUAAUGCUGGAUUAAUGAAUGGCUGUGUUUUCCUUAGAGAGAAGCCAAAUAAAUUUAGAAAGGCAGUGGAGACAAGGCAGCAUAAACAUGGUGUGUGCUGGAUUUUUUCUCUCUUUAGGAAUCAGGAAGAUGCAGUUUCUCCACUUGUUUAUUUUAUUAAAGACUCUCACAGUCUCUAGGAGGAUAAAAACAUGUUUAUGUUCUCUGGUAAUAAGCUUACUGACGUUUUCUUAUUUUUGACAUUGCAUGUUAAUGAAUUAAGGAGAGCAGUGAUACAGUGUUAAUAGGAAGCUGUUAAAAUCUGCUGAAGUCAGACUGGUGACAAGUUUAAUUAAAUAUCAAUUAUAAUAAGUCAAUUACUUGCUGACUAAACCUUUGUUCUUGAGUCCAGGAUUUGAUACUUUUAUAAGUGGUGAGUCUGUGUGGUGUGGCUAUAAUGGAGAAAUCCACAUGGAUGCCUUUCAUAGGUACUUUAGAUUUGUAUUCUUACUGAUCUGUCUCUGGAUCAGCUGUUGUGGCAAAUUUGAAACAAAGUUUCUCCUUUAAAAGCUAAGAACUCCCAGCUUGUGGAAUCAAACUCAACACAGGGCUUCUGUCUUCCUAAAGCCUGAAUGUGAUUAACACUGCUGUAAUAUGUACUGUCAGCAAAAUAAAUUCACCAGGAAGCAGUCAGUUAAAAAUAAAGAGUGAUGUCAUGCUCUGCCUGUCACUUCCUACGACUGAGGAUGGCACAAGGCUGUUCUUUUCAUGUAUAAAGAGGCAUCAAAAGUUCAAGAUUUUUAUUCUGAAGAAUCUCUCCUUAACUGUAGCAAGCAGAAGAACCGAGAUUGAAAACAAUCUUUUUGGUAUUUUACCAAUGUGACCAUGUUGAUAUUAAAUGCCAGUAAUCAAGAGGCUGGAUUUUUUUUCCAUAUGAAGCAUCUGCAAGUGAGAUGAUUAAAAAAUGAAUGUAUGUGUACUCAGCUUAGACAGUGUUUCAAAUGUGAUGCAUUUUUCUUGAACAAGGAGUCUGAAUUUUUCCAGGGAAUUCAAAAAUAACAAAACAGCCCAUGAGAAGAACAGAGACUAUCCAGCUGGAUUCAUACACACCUGUUCUCAACAGGUUCUCAUAGGAGCCUGUUCUCAACACUGGACAGCACCAAACACAUCAGAGAAAAAUACUGUAACUCUCAUGAUAUGUGCGUGCCAUAGGCUGCCACACUAGAUCUCCUUGUAAUCCUUCCAUACCUUUUAAGAGAGAAAUUUCUAAAGCUACUGGGUACCUGGGAAGUAAAAAGUACAUUUGUGACUGUUCUUUUAAUCUUUUUGGUUUUCCAUCUCAGUUUUGAUUAUAAGUUGUGUGUAUUUUUUUUUUCUCAGCUAGUUCUGUAGCUGAGUGAAAAAUUAAAACUUACCUUUUGUAUUUAAGUGGCAUCAAAAGUCUGAUUGACCUAUUGAAAAUUCUCUUUAGAGAAGGGAGAAAAGGAAUGUCUGUUGUUAACUUGUGUUACUGUGUGGUACUACUAAAGUUUCUUUGCUGUCCUUACUACUCAGAAGAUCAGGAAUCAGAAUAUGAGUCCAGAUGGGCACGUAAUCUCAGUGAAAUAAGGGUCUUUUUUUGGUAAUAGGUGCCAGCUGGAGAAUUUUGGUGAAGAGGGAAGGUGAGGUUUGUUUUGUGAUUUGAAGUCUGGGAAUGGCACAGCAGUCGACACACAGAGGAAAAUCAGGAAUGCCCUUAUACAGCAGCAGCACAGAUUGUUUCCCUGCUGCAGUGACAGAAAAAACUCCAGUGAGGAGGAGGAGGUAGACCAGCAGUGGGAAGAGACUGGAUGGAAUGGAGUGGUGGCUGCCUCAUCUUGGGCCAGCUUUGCUGGUACUCCUACAUCACCCAAGACAAACAACAUCCUUUGUACUGACUUGAGGCAGUAGCAGUAGCCAGGAUUUUACUGCACUGCCACUGCAGUAGCUCUGAUAGUCCAGAAGAGAGUUGGUGAAUGGAUUCAGAAUGUUAGCUAUCUGUUGGAGUUUCUUUUAUGAAAAUGACACAUUAAAUAAAAAUAGAAAAUAUAUAACCUAA